rnacentral:rRNA from 1 species
CAGUCGCCGCGGUAAGACAGAGGAUGCAAGCGUUAUCCGGAAUGAUUGGGCGUAAAGCGUCUGUAGGUGGCUUUUCAAGUCCGCCGUCAAAUCCCAGGGCUCAACCCUGGACAGGCGGUGGAGACUACCAAGCUGGAGUACGGUAGGGGCAGAGGGAAUUUCCGGUGGAGCGGUGAAACGCGUUGAGAUCGGAAAGAACACCAACGGCGAAAGCACUCUGCUGGGCCGACACUGACACUGAGAGACGAAAGCUAGGGGAGCAAAUGGGAUUAGAUACCCGCGUAGUCCCUGUCUCUUAUAC